rnacentral:rRNA from 1 species
UACGGAGGGUGCGAGCGUUGUCCGGAAUCACUGGGCGUAAAGGGCGCGUAGGCGGCCUGCUAAGUCGAACGUGAAAUCCCUGGGCUCAACCCAGGAACUGCGUCCGAUACUGGUUGGCUUGAAUCCGGGAGAGGGAUGUGGAAUUCCAGGUGUAGCGGUGAAAUUCGUAGAUAUCUGGAGGAACACCGGUGGCGAAGGCGGCAUCCUGGACCAACACUGACGCUGAGGAGCGAAAGCCAGGGGAGCAAACGGG